rnacentral:rRNA from 1 species
UACGAAGGGGGCUAGCGUUGCUCGGAAUCACUGGGCGUAAAGCGCACGUAGGCGGCUUUCUAAGUCAGGGGUGAAAUCCUGGAGCUCAACUCCAGAACUGCCUUUGAUACUGGGAAGCUCGAGUCCGGAAGAGGUGAGUGGAACUCCGAGUGUAGAGGUGAAAUUCGUAGAUAUUCGGAGGAACACCAGUGGCGAAGGCGGCUCACUGGUCCAUUACUGACGCUGAGGUGCGAAAGCGUGGGGAGCAAACAGG